rnacentral:rRNA from 1 species
CUGGCGGCGUGCCUAACACAUGCAAGUCGAGCGAGAUGAGCCCUUCGGGGUGAUUCUAGCGGCGGACGGGUGAGUAACACGUGGGUAACCUGACCUCAAAGAGGGGGAUAGCCUCCCGAAAGGGAGAUUAAUACCGCAUAACAUUAUUUCUUCGCAUGAAGAGAUAAUCAAAGGAGUAAUCCGCUUUGAGAUGGACCCGCGGCGCAUUAGCUAGUUGGUGAGGUAAUGGCUCACCAAGGCGACGAUGCGUAGCCGACCUGAGAGGGUGAUCGGCCACAUUGGAACUGAGAUACGGUCCAGACUCCUACGGGAGGCAGCAGUGGGGAAUAUUGCGCAAUGGGGGAAACCCUGACGCCAGCAACGCCGCGUGGGUGAAGAAGGCCUUCGGGUUGUAAAGCUCUGUCUUCUGGGACGAUAAUGACGGUACCAGAGGAGGAAGCCACGGCUAACUACGUGCCAGCCGCAGC